rnacentral:rRNA from 1 species
UCGCUGACGAGUGGCGGACGGGUGAGUAAUGCUUGGGAACUUGCCUUUGCGAGGGGGAUAACAGUUGGAAACGACUGCUAAUACCGCAUAAUGUCUACGGACCAAACGGGGCUUAGGCUCCGGCGCAAAGAGAGGCCCAAGUGAGAUUAGCUAGAUGGUGAGGUAAAGGCUCACCAUGGCGACGAUCUCUAGCUGUUCUGAGAGGAAGAUCAGCCACACUGGGACUGAGACACGGCCCAGACUCCUACGGGAGGCAGCAGUGGGGAAUAUUGCACAAUGGGGGAAACCCUGAUGCAGCCAUGCCGCGUGUGUGAAGAAGGCCUUCGGGUUGUAAAGCACUUUCAGUUGUGAGGAAAAGUUGGUAGUUAAUACCUGCCAGCCGUGACGUUAACAACAGAAGAAGCACCGGCUAACUCCGUGCCAGCAGCCGCGGUAAUACGGAGGGUGCGAGCGUUAAUCGGAAUUACUGGGCGUAAAGCGCACGCA